rnacentral:rRNA from 1 species
AGUGAACGCUGGCGGUAGGCCUAACACAUGCAAGUCGAACGGCAGCACAGUAAGAGCUUGCUCUUACGGGUGGCGAGUGGCGGACGGGUGAGGAAUACAUCGGAAUCUACUUUUUCGUGGGGGAUAACGUAGGGAAACUUACGCUAAUACCGCAUACGACCUACGGGUGAAAGCAGGGGAUCUUCGGACCUUGCGCGAUUGAAUGAGCCGAUGUCGGAUUAGCUAGUUGGCGGGGUAAAGGCCCACCAAGGCGACGAUCCGUAGCUGGUCUGAGAGGAUGAUCAGCCACACUGGAACUGAGACACGGUCCAGACUCCUACGGGAGGCAGCAGUGGGGAAUAUCGGACAAUGGGCGCAUGCCUGAUCCAGCCAUACCGCGUGGGUGAAGAAGGCCUUCGGGUUGUAAAGCCCUUUUGUUGGGAAAGAAAAGCAGCAGGUUAAUACCCCGCUGUUCUGACGGUACCCAAAGAAUAAGCACCGGCUAACUUCGUG